CUCGGCCAGAUGGUGAUUGAUGAGGAGCUUCUGGGAGAUGGACACAGCUAUAGUCCUAGAGCUAUUCAUUCAUGGCUGACCAGGGCCAUGUACAGCCGGCGCUCGAAGAUGAACCCUUUGUGGAACACCAUGGUCAUCGGAGGCUAUGCUGAUGGAGAGAGCUUCCUCGGUUAUGUGGACAUGCUUGGUGUAGCCUAUGAAGCCCCUUCGCUGGCCACUGGUUAUGGUGCAUACUUGGCUCAGCCUCUGCUGCGAGAAGUUCUGGAGAAGCAGCCAGUGCUGAGCCAGACCGAGGCCCGCGACCUAGUAGAACGCUGCAUGCGAGUGCUGUACUACCGAGAUGCCCGUUCUUACAACCGGGUGAGGGAUGUGCUGGGAACCUAAUUGGCGGGCUCUGGAUCCUUGCAAUCCCUGGGUCUCUAUGCUUUGAAGAACAGAUUGCCUUACUUGUGUGACUCCUAUUUUCACAUUGGGGAAGACCUCCACCUGACUUUUCAUUUAAGGACUUAAGUGGUGGGCAUUAUUGAAUGCUCUGCUUUCUUCCAGUUUCAAAUUGCCACUGUAACCGAAAAAGGUGUUGAAAUAGAGGGACCAUUGUCUGCAGAGACCAACUGGGAUAUUGCCCACAUGAUCAGUGGCUUUGAAUGAAAUACAGAUGCAUUAUCCAGAACUGAAGUUGCCCUACUUUUAACUUUGAACUUGGCUGGUUCAAAGAUAGACUCUUCUUUUGUAAAGUAAAUAAAUUCUUCAAAAUG
rnacentral:sRNA from 1 species